rnacentral:rRNA from 1 species
GCAGGCCUAACACAUGCAAGUCGAGCGAGACCUUCGUGUCUAGCGGCGAACGGGUUAGUAACGCGUGGGAACGUGCCCUUCACUACGGAAUAGUCCUGGGAAACUGGGGGAAGACCGUAUACGCCCUUCGGGGGAAAGAAUUUCGGUGAAGGAUCGGCCCGCGUUGGAUUAGGUAGUUGGUGCGGUAACGGCGCACCAAGCCGACGAUCCAUAGCUGGUUUGAGAGGAUGAUCAGCAACACUGGGACUGAGACACGGCCCAGACUCCUACGGGAGGCAGCAGUGGGGAAUCUUAGACAAUGGGGGAAACCCUGAUCUAGCCAUGCCGCGUGAGUGACGAAGGCCCUAGGGUCGUAAAGCUCUUUCACCAGGGAAGAUAAUGACGGUACCUGGAGAAGAAACCCCGGCUAACUCCGUGCCAGCAGCCGCGGUAAUACGGAGGGGGUUAGCGUUGUUCGGAAUUACUGGGCGUAAAGCGCGCGUAGGCGGAUUAGUCAGUCAGAGGUGAAAUCCCAGGGCUCAACCCUGGAACUGCCUUUGAUACUGCUAGUCUUGAGUUCGAGAGAGGUGAGUGGAACUCCGAGUGUAGAGGUGAAAUUCGUAGAUAUUCGGAAGAACACCAGUGGCGAAGGCGGCUCACUGGCUCGAUACUGACGCUGAGGUGCGAAAGUGUGGGGAGCAAACAGGAUUAGAUACCCUGGUAGUACACACCGUAAACGAUGAAUGCCAGUCGUCGGGUAGCAUGCU